CCUACGGGUGGCUGCAGUGGGGGAUAUUGCACAAUGGGGGAAACCCUGAUGCAGCGACGCCGCGUGUGGGAAGACGGUCCUCUGGAUUGUAAACCACUGUCGCCAGGGACGAAGAUGACGGUACCGGGGGAGGAAGCACCGGCUAACUACGUGCCAGCAGCCGCGGUAAUACGGAGGGAGCGAGCGUUGGCCGGAAGUACGGGGUGUAAAGGGAGCGUAGGCGGGACGGCAAGUUGGGUGUCAAAUCUACCGGCUCAACCGGUAGCCGCACUCAAAACUGCAGUUCUUGAGUGAAGUAGAGGCAGGCGGCAUUCCUAGUGUAGCGGUUAAAUGCGUAGAUAUUAGGCGGAACCCCAGUGGCGAUGGCGGCCUGCUGGUCUUUUACUGACGCUGAGGCUCGAAAGUGUGGGGAGCAAACAGGAUUAGAUACCCUGGUAGUC
rnacentral:rRNA from 1 species